rnacentral:rRNA from 1 species
AUUGAACGCUGGCGGCAGGCCUAACACAUGCAAGUCGAACGAGUGGCGGAUGGGUGAGUAAUGUCUGGGAAACUGCCUGAUGCAGGGGGAUAACUACUGGAAACGGUAGCUAAUACCGCAUACCAUCAGAUGUGCCCAGAUGGGAUUAGCUUGUUGGUGGGGGAACGGAUCACCAAGGCGACGAUCACUAGCUGGUCUGAGAGGAUGACAAGCCACAAUGGAACUGGGACACGGGCCAAACUCCUACGGGAGGCAGCGGUUGGGAAUAUUGCACAAUGGGCGCAAGACUGAUGCAGCCAUGCGGCGUGUAUGAAGAAGGCCUUCGGGUUGGAAAGUACUUUCAGCGGAGAGGCGUUUCCCGCAGAAGAAGCACCGGCUAACUCCGUGCCAGCAGCCGCGGUAAUUC